UUCUGUGGUAGUAACCUGCUUCAGCAUGCAUUGCCGUUGAAUAGUAAAUAGGUGCUAUAUACAUAUAACUCAGGCUAAUAAGUCGUGCUUCUUCCACUGUUGGCAGCAAAUAGUGAAAACCAUUUGAGGAGCAGAGCAGUGCACUGAUCGGGUUCACGUGAUGAUACCAUUGAUUAUGUUUGUGCCUGGGUGGACGUUUGAAUGGAAGAAUGUCGUUCAUGUAGAUUUGUAUUGAAUUGUUGGGGUGUUAGGGAGUGGAGUCAGUGCUUCGGGAUGAAGAUGUAUUAUCCUAAUGGAGACCACUGUAGCACUGAGAAGCAAGAUCCAAUAGGAUUCAAGCACUGCCAGUCUCAAUGCCACUUCACGUGGUGAAACGUGAAUCGGGGUCAUUGGACAAAAACAAUAUACCGCUAUAUGAAAAGAAAGAAAACAGCAACUCAUUUAAAAUAAAUAAAUACAUAAAAUACAUAUCAUGUGCUGAAUUAAAUCAACAAACAAGAAAAAGACAACAAAAGCACCUUUUGAAGUUGGUUUUAUUUCUAGAGCAAACGAGUGUAUAUUUUUAGCAAAUUCUAUCACAAGUGGAUGUUAACAAAAACCAUGUCGUUGUCUGUACAGUCUUCGCAAUACACAAAAUAAAACAAAUAAUAUAAAUACAGACAUGGAUUUUACAUGACAAAAGCAAGCGCAGUGAACACUCUGCUAGAAAUCCCAUUUCUAAUGCAUGAUGCAUCUGCAGAAUAGAGGAACAGUUAAACAUUAUGUUUAGCAGACUUGCUGAUUUCUACAAAAAAAAGUCGGACUUCUUUCCCUUGUGUAGACAUUUCAUUGAUUCUCAUCUACAAAGGGAAGCAGGUUUUUAUAUGACAAAUGCAAAUUACUUAUACAUGUUCUUAAUAAGCUGUUAGUAGUAAGCGAGUAAAAAAAAAAAAAGGUACGGCCA